GACAUAAGAGCAAGCCCGCACGUGUGAAGGCAUCCACUGCCAUGGGCUCCCCAAAGGAAGUCAUUUUCUCAGACAUCACUGAAAACUCAGCUACUGUCAGCUGGAGGGCACCCACUGCCCAAGUGGAGAGCUUCCGGAUUACCUAUGUGCCCAUUACAGGAGGUACACCCUCCAUGGUAACUGUGGAUGGAACCAAGACUCAGACCAGGCUGGUGAAACUCAUACCUGGGGUAGAGUACCUUGUCAGCAUCAUCGCCAUGAAGGGCUUUGAGGAAAGUGAACCUGUCUCAGGGUCAUUCACCACAGCUCUGGAUGGCCCAUCUGGCCUGGUGACAGCCAACAUCACUGACUCGGAAGCCUUGGCCAGGUGGCAGCCAGCCAUUGCCACUGUGGACAGUUAUGUCAUCUCCUACACAGGGGAGAAAGUGCCAGAAAUUACACGCACGGUGUCCGGGAACACAGUGGAGUAUGCUCUGACCGACCUCGAGCCUGCCACGGAAUACACACUGAGAAUCUUUGCAGAGAAAGGGCCCCAGAAGAGCGCAACCAUCACUGCCAAGUUCACA
rnacentral:sRNA from 1 species